rfam:Gossypium raimondii Chr01_contig_186, whole genome shotgun sequence.
UGAUAAAAAUUUCAUCCAUUUAGACUGUUAAAAAUUGGCGUAAUUGACAGAAUAACCAAAUAGUAAAACAUGAUAUGUCUCGUAUACUUCAUGCUGACGUACAGAGAUCAGUUUUUAACAGUAACAAUAAAUGGAAUUUUUUAUA